rnacentral:tRNA from 1 species
GCGUCUGUAGCUCAGCAGGAUAGAGCAACGGCCUUCUAAGCCGUGAGUCCGGGGUUCGAGUCCCUGCAGGCGCGCCA